UACGUAGGUGGCAAGCGUUAUCCGGAAUUACUGGGCGUAAAGGGUGCGUAGGUGGCGCCAUAAGUCAGGUGUGAAAUCUCGGGGCUCAACUCCGAAACUGCACUUGAUACUGUGGUGCUCGAGUACUGGAGAGGAGAUUGGAAUUUACGGUGUAGCAGUGAAAUGCGUAGAUAUCGUAAGGAAGACCAGUGGCGAAGGCGAAUCUCUGGACAGUUACUGACACUGAGGCACGAAGGCCAGGGGAGCAAACGGG
rnacentral:rRNA from 1 species